rnacentral:SRP_RNA from 1 species
UGUUGGUUCUCCCGCAACGCUACUCUGUUUCCCAGGUCAGGUCCGGAAGGAAGCAGCCAAGGCAGAUGACGCGUGUGCCGGGAUGUAGCUGGCAGGG